rnacentral:rRNA from 1 species
CAAUAGCGUAUAUUUAAGUUGUUGCAGUUAAAAAGCUCGUAGUUGGAUUUCUGGUGGGGCUGUCGGCCUGGCUCCGAAAGGGGUCGUGGUUUCGUUACACGCCUGGCCAUCCUCGGGGGAAGCUUUGCUGGCAUUAAGUUGUCGGCGGAGUGACGCUCGUCGUUUACUGUGAACAAAUUAGAGUGUUCAAAGCAGGCUUAGGCCGUUGAAUACAUUAGCAUGGAAUAAUGAGAUAGGACUUUGGUGGUCUAUUUUGUUGGUUUGCACGCCGAAGUAAUGAUUAAUAGGGGCGGUUGGGGGUAUUCGUAUUCAAUUGUCAGAGGUGAAAUUCUUGGAUUUAUGGAAGACGAACUACUGCGAAAGCAUUUACCAAGGAUGUUUUCAUUAA